GGAAGCGUGCCAGAGUGGUUGAAUGGGCUGGUCCUGAAAACCAGUAGGCCCGCAAGGGUCUCAGAGGUUCGAAUCCUCUCGCUUCCG
rnacentral:tRNA from 2 species